rnacentral:miRNA from 1 species
GAUCCCCGGCAACGGCGCCA